UACGGAGGGUGCAAGCGUUAUCCGGAAUCAUUGGGUUUAAAGGGUCCGCAGGCGGAUUUAUAAGUCAGUGGUGAAAUCCUAUCGCUUAACGAUAGAACUGCCAUUGAUACUGUAGGUCUUGAAUUCGGUCGAAGUGGGCGGAAUGUGUAGUGUAGCGGUGAAAUGCAUAGAUAUUACACAGAACACCGAUAGCGAAGGCAGCUCACUAGGCCUGGAUUGACGCUCAGGGACGAAAGCGUGGGGAUCAAACAGGAUUAGAUACCCUGGUAGUCCACGCUGUAAACGAUGAUUACUCGUUUUCGGCGAUACACAGUCGGAGACUAAGCGAAAGUGAUAAGUAAUCCACCUGGGGAGUACGAUCGCAAGGUUGAAACUCAAAGGAAUUGACGGGGGCCCGCACAAGCGGUGGAGCAUGUGGUUUAAUUCGAUGAUACGCGAGGAACCUUACCAGGGCUUGAAAGUUAGUGAAGAAUGUGGAAACAUGUUCGUCAGCAAUGACACGAAACUAGGUGCUGCAUGGCUGUCGUCAGCUCGUGCCGUGAGGUGUUGGGUUAAGUCCCGCAACGAGCGCAACCCCCAUCUUUAGUUGCUAGCAGGUAAUGCUGAGGACUCUAAAGAAACUGCCUACGCAAGUAGCGAGGAAGGCGGGGACGACGUCAAGUCAUCACGGCCCUUACGUCCUGGGCCACACACGUGCUACAAUGGUAGGUACAGAGGGCAGCUACCGGGUGACCGGAUGCGAAUCUCUAAAGCCUAUCUCAGUUCGGAUUGGAGUCUGCAACUCGACUCUAUGAAGCUGGAAUCGCUAGUAAUCGCGCAUCAGCCAUGGCGCGGUGAAUACGUUCCCGGGCCU
rnacentral:rRNA from 1 species